UGAAGAUGUUUAACUUUUUGUAGCAAUUGAAGUUUUACCACAAAACAGCAAAGUUGUCUAAAAGAUGUUUUGCURAAGUGUUGGAGAUUGGAGCGAAAAUGAAGGAAACUAACCUGAACCUAGGCAGUUCCUCAAAGUGCACUCAAUCGACAUUCAAGGACAUUCUCUACAAUGUAUCGSAGGAAGACCMGUACCGAACUCUCGAUGCUAUGUGUAAAGGGAAKUUAAAAUUGACAGAAGUUAGGAGAAAAAAGAUAUCUGAAGACCAAAAAAAAGUUGUGUCGGCUAAAAACGAGGCUGAAGAGCUUCGCCUAGAUUUGGAUGAUUUUAGAAACAAGAACGUCGAAUUAAAGAUUAAUUUAGAAGACGAAAGUUGUAAGGCAUUAUUAAAUGUAUUGUAUCUUAUGUCUUAAACGCGACGGUUAAUCUAUCGUUAAUCUGUUAAUCGCAUUAAGUAAUUGCACGAAUUCUGUGAUUCAUUCCACACACAGUCCAUAAAAGAAUGCAAAAGCAUCAAAGACAAAAACAAAGAGCUGUCUAUCGCCAACAAUAAAAAUGAAAAGGUAAUUCGAGAACUGCAGGCAAAGAUUGAGAGACUUGAAAACGAAGUUAUCAAUUGGAAAGAUCUAUAUUUGGAUGCAACAGUUUUAAUGCAAGCCAAUUUCAUAAAAGAAAAG